AUGAUUAAUACUAUAUGCAUUAACUCUCUGAUCUCAUUACACAUGCUUUGUAUUAACUUGAAUUACAGAGAGAAAGCGCCGAUAAACUUGAGAUUCAGAUCACCAAUUACAGAGCGUGCACAUCCCGGCAAGACAUUGCCCUCCUCUCGCAAGCAACAAGGAGCAGACAGGUUGUGUGGCAGUACUUGCAGCCAAUGUUCAUUAUCUCCUUCCACAAAUAAUAUAUGCAUGUCUCCUGCAAUGAUUAAUAUAUACAUCAACUCUCCGAUCUCAUUACACAUGCUUUGUAUUAACUUGAAUUACAGAGAGAAAGUGGCGAUAAAAUUGAGAUUCUGA
rnacentral:rRNA from 1 species